UACAGAAGUCUCAAGCGUUGUUCGGAUUCAUUGGGCGUAAAGGGUGCGUAGGCGGCGCGGUAAGUCGGGUGUGAAAUCUCGGAGCUUAACUCCGAAACUGCAUUCGAUACUGCCGUGCUUGAGGACUGGAGAGGAGACUGGAAUUUAGGGUGUAGCGGUGAAAUGCGUAGAUAUCGUAAGGAAGACCAGUGGCGAAGGCGGGUCUCUGGACAGUUCCUGACGCUGAGGCACGAAGGUCAGGGGAGCAAACGGG
rnacentral:rRNA from 1 species